rnacentral:rRNA from 1 species
GACGGAGGGGGCUAGCGUUGUUCGGAAUUACUGGGCGUAAAGCGCACGUAGGCGGCUUUGUAAGUUAGAGGUGAAAGCCCAGGGCUUAACCCUGGAAUUGCCUUUAAGACUGCAUCGCUAGAAUCGUGGAGAGGUAAGUGGAAUUCCGAGUGUAGAGGUGAAAUUCGUAGAUAUUCGGAAGAACACCAGUGGCGAAGGCGACUUACUGGACAC